AGACUUGGUUUCAUGUGCUUCAAGAAGAUCUUCCCUUCUUCCCAGAUUUUUUUUUCUUUAUUUUCCCAGAUUUGCAAAAUCUGAGGCAGGUUUUAUUGCAGAAGACCUAUGCUUUUUUGGGAAGCUCAUUUUAAACCUUCAUUCAAUUGGCUCAGCUGAAGUGAGAUCUUGAAUGAUUUUAGACAUUUGGGAAUGGAAGACAAGGUGAUGUGGAGACUAGAGCAUAGCUGCCUCAUUACUCUUGGUCUAGCCCAAGGUGAGAAACCAAAGAAGGAGGCUCAGGGAGAUCUGGAAAUACCAGCAAAGACAAACAUCAAGUUGUCCAGAAGAUACUGUGCCAUUUUAUUCCUCCAUCAAAAUUCCCAAUAAGGUGAGCAAAACAUCAGCAAACACUCAAGAAAAGACCUCCUGAGCUUCCAGUUAUUCUUGCUGGCAUCUUUAAAUAGAUAUUUUAAUAAUAAUUUCCUUUUUGAGAAAUAUUAAGUCCUUUGUGCCAGGGGAAAAAAAAAAAAAAGCUUUAUUUAAUUGCCAG
rnacentral:lncRNA from 1 species